UGCAGCCCUAACUAAGGAAGGGUCAGCACUUUCCACUUCAAUCCAGAUUACAGGAGAAGAUACAGGCUUGAGGAUCAGGACUCAGCCUCAACAAAGCCUCUCACAAACUUUAAAGACCCAGUGUGCAUGGAUGUCUGUACAAGAUGUCCGCCUGGAGGUUCCUGUAACAGGCUGUGACCUGCAGUCCUCCUCUUCCCCAUCCUCUCCUCCCUGUGCUCGCCAGCGUACCCUUUCUUUUGGCUCACCCUCCUCUCUGUGUACUUCCUAUCAAGACAUUGCUGACUGUACUCUUGCCA